CGUUGUUAAAGCACAAAGGCGACGAUGGCAAGAAUUUUUGAGUUUCUUCUUGUUCUUAUUCUUCAAUGUGAGCUGACCAAAAGUGACCACAAUGGCUGUCAUUUCCAGUAUUUAUCAACUUUAAGGAAAGUUAAUAACCAUGCCCAGAUGACGUGUUUAAUGCCAGCCCAUACAUUAGAUGAAGGAGGUAUAACUGAUGAACAAUGUGGUGUUACCUGUAUGUGUAAAAAUAAUAAACGGUACUGUUGCAGUGGUAAACUGGAUGGUGAAAACUGCAUUGAAAUAACAGACCAAUGCUUGGAACUUAUACUGGAAACUGGUCAAACAGUAGACUUAAGCUGUAGAACAACACGUGACCGGAAAAGACGAGACCUGAAUGAAAAUGGAGCAAAAGAUGUUUCCGAAAACAACGCGGAUAUGUCAGCUGUAACUCUACCGGAUUAUCCAUAUGAGCGGCCGAAGAGAGCAGCAGAUCAAGCAUUCGAACAGCAGUCAAGAUUGCAUGCCGUGUUCGAAAAACUCUUUAAGAAAUAAAUAAAAUAUUAAAUCCUCCAUAUUAAAAAUCCAUGGCGUUGACCCCCUUUUUGUUUAUUGCUUUAAAUGUAAUUUCACAUUAUGUAGUUAGUUACCAAUAUUAUUAUUUGAUAGUCGAGCAUAUAUCUAGUGCUUGGGUUAAAUGAAAAGGACAGUGUCUAGUCGUUCGGAUGGGACGUUGGCAUGCAGGUAAAAGAACCCUUGACAGAAUUCGAUAUAAAAGUUUCAUAUUACUGAACUAGAAUCAAACAGAUACCGUGACCGAGAUUAGUUCCACACAUGGAUUAGGGAGUUGAUUACAGGCUUGUCAUGUUAAAGUUACAAUUUCAUAUUUUUAAGUUAUAUUUUUAAAAUGUAUUAAAAUAAAGCCCUAAAAUAGAUGGUAUCUAUAAACAGCCCUACCUUGUUAAAGAAUAAUCCUAUUAAUCUUAUAAUUCACUACUGCCAGUUGAGAAAUUGGCAAAAAUAUCAUUUUCAACUUUAAAUUCAAACGUUUGAAGAUAGCUAUUCCAUGAUGGGGAACAGGAAAACAAGGGAGGUAAUUGUGUUAAUAUUUCCGGUGUGAAGAUUUUUAAG